UUGAUGAUGCCAUGAAGAUGGUGCAUUGGCCGAGUUAGGAAACUCACAAAAACACAAGGGAAGUUCCCUUAGACUUUUAAAACCUUUUCAUUCAUCUUAUUCAUUGCUUGUGCUUGAAAAGAUACUUAAAAUGAUUAUGAUUGAAUUGUGAGAUUGUGUGCAUCAAGUGUGAUGCAGGAUAUUCAUUUUCUUGGUUUUGAUAGGUACUGAUGCACCUUUGGGAUAAUGUAUCAGGUACCAUUGCUUGUAGCCUCAGUAAACAGUUCCGGGGAAUCUCCUAGCUUCUCUAAAGGGGCUGUGAAGUCUGUUGAGAGGGGGAGACCAUAAACCUAGUCUAUGAAGAGGGCAAGCCGGGUGUGAAGUAUUGAUCAGC
rnacentral:lncRNA from 1 species